rnacentral:rRNA from 1 species
GACGAAGGGGGCUAGCGUUGUUCGGAAUUACUGGGCGUAAAGCGCGUGUAGGCGGUUAUUCAAGUCGGGUGUGAAAGCCUUGAGCUCAACUCAAGAAAUGCACUCGGUACUGGGUGACUAGAGGACCGGAGAGGAUAGUGGAAUUCCCAGUGUAGUGGUGAAAUACGUAGAGAUUGGGAAGAACACCAGUGGCGAAGGCGGCUAUCUGGACGGUUUCUGACGCUAAGACGCGAAAGCGUGGGGAGCGAACAGG